AAUCAACUAGAGAAGCAGACUGGGAGUGUUUUCACAUGUGUCGUGUAAGUGGUCCUAGCCAGUAUUUAUUUAUGAGGUCAAUGCUAAAAGGCAAGAAGUAAAUUGAGUCAUGCUAACAAACAUAAAAUAAUUUGUGAGAUUUAUCUUUGACCUGUCUAACAUUAUUUGGAGGAAAGGAAAAAAAAAAAGUUUACCAUAAACCCAAGAGAUGAAGAUUCUGGUAACUUACUUAUACAGCUGAGUCUACAUUUUGUAGGUGACUGUAGUCUGGUCUGUAAAAGCAACAAAGGGAAAAGCCCCUUAAGGCCGAUGAUCUCCAUUAACCUAAACAGCAUUUCUAUGCUGAGUUUAGCUUUUAUUGAAGGAAAAGUUCUGGAGUCCUGAGACUUGCUAUUUUGUCAAGGAGUUUGCAGGUUGGAGCCCCAGUUAGGCUUAAAGUGUGGUAAUAAUGGACACUAUUAAUAGGACCUGCUAUUUAAAACCGGAAUAUUUUAUAGUUACACAUUUUGAGCAAAGACUGGAUUGUAGAGGAUGCAGAUAGAAUGCAAAAAGGAAAAUUUUAAGAAAAAUCCAGAACUAACUCCUGGAUUCAGCCUUCCCAGAAAACCCAUAACUUUUACAUUUCUUGUUCUUUCUAAAUAGUUUGAAUCCAAGAUUUGUUUAGUAGCUUAGUCUAGAAUUAGACUUAACCCAACAUUUAUGUCCCUCUCUUGUUAUUUUUUCUAACCAAUAUAGAUAAGUUUUAUUUGCAAGGAGCAUAUUUAAAGUGUAAAAUAAUUAAUGCCUGCUUUGCUGUGAAACAAAUGUAGACAUGGCUGCUUGCAUAUGUUGUCUUGAUACAUCAAAAAUGCCGAUCAUUUAAGCUAUUAAUAAAAGACACUCUACUGCUUUAAAGGUAUUAGAGGAAUUUUUAAUUCCAUCUUCUUGCUGAGUGCAAAAUAUAAGACAAUAGGAACAAUUGUCUCAUGUAAGUGUAACCAAAAAACAAAAAAAAAAACAAAACUGGAGUAUGAAUACAACUGCUUUAGCAUGUGAUUUCAAGGAAGUAUUUGAAAAGCUGGGCUUGCUGCAGUGGACUGACUGCACAGCCAAAGUGCUGGCUGAGCAACUCUGGCUCGGGCAAGUCAUCAACCUUUUGAGGCCUUGCCUCCAGGCUCCAGGAAGCCCUCUGAGACAAGGCUCUCCAGUCUCCUCAAAUAAAUAGUUAUUGUGAAUGUUUGAAACUGCACUUUCUG
rnacentral:lncRNA from 1 species